rnacentral:rRNA from 1 species
GGUGGUGCAUGGUUGUCGUCAGCUCGUGUCGGGAGAUGUUGGGUUAAGUCCCGCAACGAGCGCAACCCUUAAGCUAAGUUGCCAUCAUUAAGUUGGGCACUCUAAGUUGACUGCCGGUGACAAACCGGAGGAAGGUGUGGAUGACGUCAAAUCAUCAUGCCCCUUAUGAUUUGGGCUACACACGUGCUACAAUGGACAAAACAAAGGGCAGCGAAACCGCGAGGUCAAGCAAAUCCCAUA